AUGUUGGAUGAGAAGCUGAUCAAGU
rnacentral:piRNA from 1 species